rnacentral:lncRNA from 1 species
UUUGAGGGCAGAGGCAACUUCUGCCCUCCAAGACCCAAUACCUGGACACCCUGGCUUUUCCUAUAUUCAAGCCAUCCAUCGGUUGCUACAGAGCUGUCAGUGCUUCCCAUCUUUUGAUGCAGGGCCAAGGCCUUUUUUGUAACUAUCCAACUACUGAUUGGCAUUCUGUGUAUUCUUUCUUGCAUAAGCCACAUCAAUAAUAUAUCAGUCCUAGUCAUUAGUUUCAGUUUCUUUAAAGUAGAGCAAGAAUUUAAAGACACUUGGAAAGCCAUGAAAUUAUAGAAACUUUCUAGAUGACUAUAUGUUCCCCCAAAACUUUUACAAUUAACUCACCGUAGUUCUUCUCUUUUUUUAGCAACAUUCCUUUAAAUCCAAAUUAUUCAAUGUAGUUUUUUUCUCAACUUUUAUUUUAAGUUCCAGGGUACAUGUGCAGGAUGUGCAGGUGUGUUACAUAGAUGAUCUGCACAGCAAACCACCAUGGCACAUGUUUGCCUCUCCCCAUCUCUACUAAAAAUACAAGGAAUUAGCCGGGUGCACUGGCACAUGCCUAUAAUCCCAGCUACUUGGGAGGCUGAGGCAGAAUUGCUUGAACCGAGGAGGCGGAGGUUGCAGUGAACCUAGAUCACACCAUUGCACUCCAGCCUCAGCAACAGGAGCGAAACUCCAUCUCAAAAAAAAAAAAAAGUCGGGGGAGAUGGGUUAAGAGAGCUUCCACUGUCCCAUAGCAGAGGUCAAAGUCCAGCGGGAAGCUGUCAGGAAAGUAUCACGGUCUGGGGCCUCCUUGUCUAAAGUUUUUCUUGUAUCACUGGUCUCAUGCUUUCUGUGCUAUGAUUUACUUGCUGUGUGACCUUGUGCAAGUUGCUCAGCCUCCAUUUCCUCGCCAUUUUUAUAACCCAUGGAAGUGAAGAGAUUUGAGAAAUCAACCAGGUCCUCUGAGAUGGGAGGUCUAAAGGGCUCCUUUGCUCUGCUUCUAUUGUAGUGGCUUGAAUUCCAGUCCUGACUGCUGGGACGCAUGCUUCUCUCUUCCUUCCAGGCCACUGUUCUUCCUUCCAACCUCCUCUCUGCUUAUGCCUCCUCCUCAUCAUUGCUCUUCUCAGCUUUAAUCAGUCGAUACCACAUUAGCUCUCAGGACAUAUUCAGUGCCUGGCCAGGCUGGAA